rnacentral:rRNA from 1 species
AGCCGCCGCGGUAACACCGGCAGCUCUAGUGGUAGCAAUUUUAUUGGGCCUAAAGCGUCCGUAGCCGGUUAAUAAGUCUCUGGUGAAAUCCUGCAGCUUAACUGUGGGAAUGCUGGAGAUACUAUUAGACUGAGACCGGGAGAGGUUAGAGGUACUCCCAGGGUAGAGGUGAAAUUCUGUAAUCCUGGGAGGACCGCCUGUUGCGAAGGCGUCUAACUGGAACGGUUCUGACGGUGAGGGACGAAAGUUAGGGGCGCGAACCGGAUUAGAUACCCGGGUAGUCCUAACUGUAAACGAUGCGGACUUGGUGUUGGGGUGGCUUUGAGCUGCUUCAGUGCCGAAGGGAAGCUGUUAAGUCCGCCGCCUGGGAAGUACGGUCGCAAGACUGAAACUUAAGGAAUUGGCGGGGGAGCACCACAACGCGUGGAGCCUGCCGGUUUAAUUGGAUUCAACGCCGGACAUCUCACCAGAGGCGACAGCUGUAUGAUAGCCAGGUUGAUGACUUUGCUUGACUAGCUGAGAAGUGGUGCAUGG